AAUGGGCGAAAGCCUGACGCAGCAACGCCGCGUGAGCGAAGACGGCCUUCGGGUUGUAAAGCUCUGUCAGGAGGGACGAAGCCACUCAGGUGAAUAGCCGAGAGGGUGACGGUACCUCCAGAGGAAGCCCCGGCUAACUACGUGCCAGCAGCCGCGGUAAUACGUAGGGGGCGAGCGUUGUCCGGAAUCAUUGGGCGUAAAGCGCGUGUAGGCGGCCAUCCAAGUCCGAUGUGAAAGCUCGGGGCUCAACCCCGAGUCUGCAUUGGAAACUGGAUGGCUUGAGUCCGGAAGAGGAGACUGGAAUUCCUGGUGUAGCGGUGAAAUGCGCAGAUAUCAGGAAGAACACCGGUGGCGAAGGCGGGUCUCUGGGACGGUACUGACGCUGAGACGCGAAAGCGUGGGGAGCAAA
rnacentral:rRNA from 1 species